rnacentral:rRNA from 1 species
AUUGUACGCUGGCGGCAUGCUUUACACAUGCAAGUCGAACGGCAGCGCGGGCUUCGGCCUGGCGGCGAGUGGCGAACGGGUGAGUAAUACAUCGGAACGUGCCCAGUAGUGGGGGAUAGCUCGGCGAAAGCCGGAUUAAUACCGCAUACGACCUGAGGGUGAAAGCGGGGGAUCUUCGGACCUCGCGCUAUUGGAGCGGCCGAUGGCAGAUUAGCUAGUUGGUGGGGUAAAGGCCUACCAAGGCGACGAUCCGUAGCUGGUCUGAGAGGACGACCAGCCACACUGGGACUGAGACACGGCCCAGACUCCUACGGGAGGCAGCAGUGGGGAAUUUUGGACAAUGGGCGAAAGCCUGAUCCAGCAAUGCCGCGUGUGUGAUGAAGGCCUUCGGGUUGUAAAGCACUUUUGGCGGGAACGAAAAGGACUGUGCCAAUACCACGGUUCGAUGACGGUACCCGCAGAAUAAGCACCGGCUAACUACGUG